GUUGCGACCCCCCUGCAACUGCCUUUUGGGUCAGGGCCCCCAAUUUGAGAAACGCUGGUCUCCCAUGUGAAAUCGGUAUAGUAUAGGGUAAAGGCACACAAACAACCAGAUUUCAUGGUUUGUGACGUGUUUUUCAUGGCCGUGAAUUUGAGGGCCCUACCCCUAGGACAUUAGCAAGUAUGUAAACACUGCUAGCGUCAGCAUUAACGUAACCUCUGCCCCAUCAAUGCAGUGGAGUGGCUCUGGAAGGCGGAUUCUGGGGCAGCAGCCAGUGGGGGAGCCUGGCAGCAUGGCUUCAGCAGGAACAGUGGGUAGAUCAAGGAACCUGCGCAGAGGCACAGGGGUCCCCGCAGAUUUCUUGAGGGCAGUGUGGACCAUCGGGGGAGCUGCUGGCUUGGGGGCCAAACCCCCUGCUACAUUUUCGAGUAGGCAGGACGUGCCCUGUGAUCGGCGGGGGGCUGUAUCCGACUGGAUUUCUGUCGCCUGGGCAGCAGCAGCCCGGUAGGGGAUGAUCCGACCCCUUUGUCUUUAUCCAUCUCAUGUGCUAAGCCAUGGCCCAGCACUCAAGUUGUAAUUCUGGGCAGUGAGGAGGAGUUGCAGCGUUAACGUGCGACUGAGCCCUAGCAAGUAGUGGCUGCCACCACUGCCCCUUCAGUUCAACCCCAUGGGCACGUUAGCCUUGGCAAGAGCAAAGCCUUAACACUACGGUGGGAUAGCUUUGUAUAUUUAAUGUAGGGACUGACCAGUGCAGCCCCCGCCUCUCUUGUUAAUGCGGGAGAACGACAUGUCAGUAGGGAUUUGUAGUAAAAGGCCUUUAAUUGUUUUAACGGAUGUCUGCACCUCCCUCCAGAAGGAAGCACAACAGCAGUGAGAGCAUCUCCAGGCAAAGGCUCCGAAGCACCUAUCCUCUGUAAAAUGAAAAUCGCGCUCUUCCCUGUGGAUUCACCCUCUGUCCCCCUUUUUCCUGAUGUUGUUUUUUUCAGAAUGAACAAAAACAAAUAUAUUGUUGAUUGCUUCA